rnacentral:rRNA from 1 species
CACAGAACUUUCCAGAGAUGGAUUGGUGCCUUCGGGAACUGUGAGACAGGUGCUGCAUGGCUGUCGUCAGCUCGUGUUGUGAAAUGUUGGGUUAAGUCCCGCAACGAGCGCAACCCUUAUCCUUUGUUGCCAGCGGUCCGGCCGGGAACUCAAAGGAGACUGCCAGUGAUAAACUGGAGGAAGGUGGGGAUGACGUCAAGUCAUCAUGGCCCUUACGACCAGGGCUACACACGUGCUACAAUGGCAUAUACAAAGAGAAGCGACCUCGCGAGAGCAAGCGGACCUCAUAAAGUAUGUCGUAGUCCGGAUUGGAGUCUGCAACUCGACUCCAUGAAGUCGGAAUCGCUAGUAAUCGUAGAUCAGAAUGCUACGGUGAAUACGUUCCCGGGCCUUGUACACACCGCCCGUCACACCAUGGGAGUGGGUUGCAAAAGAAGUAGGUAGCUUAACCUUCGGGAGGGCGCUUACCACUUUGUGAUUCAUGACUGGGGUGAAGUCGUAACAAGGUAACCGUAGGGGAACCUGCGGUUGGAUCACCUCCUUACCUUAAAGAA